rnacentral:rRNA from 1 species
UACGUAGGCAGCAAGCGUUGUUCGGAGUUACUGGGCGUAAAGGGCGUGUAGGCGGUUCUUUAAGUUUGGUGUGAAAACUCCCGGCUCAACUGGGAGGGUGCGCCGAAUACUGAGGGACUAGAGUACGGGAGAGGAAAGUGGAAUUCCUGGUGUAGCGGUGAAAUGCGUAGAUAUCAGGAGGAACACCGGUGGUGUAGACGGCUUUCUGGACCGUAACUGACGCUGAGACACGAAAGCGUGGGUAGCAAACAGG